rnacentral:rRNA from 1 species
ACUCCUACGGGAGGCAGCAGUGGGGAAUAUUGCACAAUGGGGGAAACCCUGAUGCAGCCAUGCCGCGUGUGUGAAGAAGGCCUUCGGGUUGUAAAGCACUUUCAGCGAGGAGGAAAAGGGUUAGUAGUUUAAUACCUGCUAGCUGUGACGUUACUCGCAGAAGAAGCACCGGGCUAACUCCGUGCCAGCAGCCGCGGUAAUACGGAGGGUGCGAGCGUUAAUCGGAAUUACUGGGCGUAAAGCGUGCGCAGGCGGUUUGUUAAGCGAGAUGUGAAAGCCCCGGC